rnacentral:rRNA from 1 species
UACGAAGGGGGCUAGCGUUGUUCGGAAUUACUGGGCGUAAAGCGUGCGCAGGCGGCUUCUCAAGUCAGGGGUGAAAGCCCAGAGCUCAACUCUGGAAUUGCCUUUGAGACUGAGUGGCUUGAGUACGAGAGAGGUGAGUGGAAUUCCCAGUGUAGAGGUGAAAUUCGUAGAUAUUGGGAAGGAACACCGGUGGCGAAGGCGGCUCACUGGCUCGUAAACUGACGCUGCAUGGCACGGACAGCGUGGGGAUCAAACAGG